CCUGCCCAUAAGACUGGGAUAACUCCGGGAAACCGGGGCUAAUACCGGAUAACAUUUUGAACCGCAUGGUUCGAAAUUGAAAGGCGGCUUCGGCUGUCACUUAUGGAUGGACCCGCGUCGCAUUAGCUAGUUGGUGAGGUAACGGCUCACCAAGGCAACGAUGCGUAGCCGACCUGAGAGGGUGAUCGGCCACACUGGGACUGAGACACGGCCCAGACUCNUACGGGAGGCAGCAGUAGGGAAUCUUCCGCAAUGGACGAAAGUCUGACGGAGCAACGCCGCGUGAGUGAUGAAGGCUUUCGGGUCGUAAAACUCUGUUGUUAGGGAAGAACAAGUGCUAGUUGAAUAAGCUGGCACCUUGACGGUACCUAACCAGAAAGCCACGGCUAACUACGUGCCAGCAGCCGCGGUAAUACGUAGGUGGCAAGCGUUAUCCGGAAUUAUUGGGCGUAAAGCGCGCGCAGGUGGUUUCUUAAGUCUGAUGUGAAAGCCCACGGCUCAACCGUGGAGGGUCAUUGGAAACUGGGAGACUUGAGUGCAGAAGAGGAAAGUGGAAUUCCAUGUGUAGCGGUGAAAUGCGUAGAGAUAUGGAGGAACACCAGUGGCGAAGGCGACUUUCUGGUCUGUAACUGACACUGAGGCGCGAAAGCGUGGGGAGCAAGCAGGAUUAGAUACCCUGGUAGUCCACGCCGUAAACGAUGAGUGCUAAGUGUUAGGGGGUUUCCGCCCUUUAGUGCUGAAGUUAACGCAUUAAGCACUCCGCCUGGGGAGUACGGCCGCAAGGCUGAAACUCAAAGGAAUUGACGGGGGCCCGCACAAGCGGUGGAGCAUGUGGUUUAA
rnacentral:rRNA from 1 species